GCGACAAUGGGCAGGGCUUCGAUCUUCCGAGAGCUGGACGACGCAGCGGAGACGGGCUCCGAAAUAUGGACGAGCGCACUGCAGCCCUCGGCGGUUCUCUCGAGGUGGUAAGUGAGCCAGGCUUCGGUACAACGGUUCGACUAAAGGUACCGGGGUCGGAGCGAGCGAGCCAACCGAACCACCCAGCCGCGGAAAAGUCAAGCUGUGUCGCGAAUUAAGGGAUCAUAAUGGUGGUGGGUCCGGCCCGAGGAGGCACCUCACUCCGCCGCGUACAUUGGCCACAGUGGGUCGUUCUCACCGCGCUCCGCAAUGAAAUCGAGCGCCUCGUUAAUCCCCUCCAGCGGGAAGUAUUUGGUCGUGAUCGG
rnacentral:misc_RNA from 1 species